rnacentral:misc_RNA from 1 species
GUUUCUUUCCUGUGUCUCCGUGUGUGUGUGUGCGUGCUCCCGCGCACAUCUACCCUCACGUCGCGCUUUCUCCCGUUUCUUUCAUAAUACAAAAUGUUUCUUCCCUCUUAUACUCCUCGUGUGUGUCGUGUGUGGGCGUUGGUGUGUGUCGGUGGGGUGUUGGUGCAUCUUCUGAUGCGCAGUUGAGCACCUGCGUCUGCCGUGGCGACAUGUGGUGGCUAAACCCCCUCCCUCCCCCCUCACACACACACACACACACACAGCGACUUGAUGUACAACACACUCGUCUUGCCUUAACUUUGUUGCCGACGUCGUCGCUGACGACUUCGUUGCUGCGCCCCCUCAUGUCCCUUGGCAUUAGUACUGCUGGUUUGCCGCUUGGGUGUCCGCGUGCGCGUGUUCGCACGCCUACGUGGAUGCGCAUGCGUUGAGGGUGCUGAGAUCAUGGCCGUCAUGUGCGUGCACCAAAGGGCAACCUGGCGUCACCGAGCGCAAUGACGAAAGAGAAGAUACGACCCGCACGGGAGGGAAGGGCGGACUCUGGCGUCGUCACGGCCGCUGCGUAUGCCACGGCGCGCCGACUGACAGUGCCCAAAUGGCGACAAAAACAGCGACAGAGGGUUGCCACGCAGGGAGCCACGCAAGCCCCACUCACCGUCUCAGUGGGGUUGCUCCCUUACUCUCUCUACAACUGCGAGAACAGCCAUUGCCCCUUCCCCCGUCUCUUGUCUUUAUACACGCACACGCACACACAUGCGAACAAGGAGUCAGUGCGUGCUGUGCCGUGCUGAGAUGAUGAGCGAUGCGUGCACUGCUUAGCAUUUGUUCAUAAAGGGCAUACGUCCUUUCCGGCUUCUCGCCUCCUCCCUUUCCUUACCUUCCCUUCCCUCCCGCCCUCCCGCUCGCUCGCUCCUUUCCCGCAUACACGGACGCACAUCGGGUCCGUCGUACGCCGUUACGUGCCCGCCAUCUCUGCGGCGCUAUUCAUUCCACCUCCCUCCUCCACACACGUUCGUUUCUCGUUCCCCGUUGGCGUGUUUGUUUGUCCUCACUCCCGACGUUGGCGGCCGUCUUGCAUCGCUUCCUGCCCUCCCCCGCCCCCUCGCGUACGCGUCUGUACAACGGGAUCGCCCGCUCAUCUCUGCAUGCAG